rnacentral:sRNA from 1 species
GCUGGGUGUGGUGGUGCACGCCUGUAAUCCCAGCAGCCUGGGAAGCUGAGGCAGGAGGAAGGCAAGUUCAAAGCUGGCCUCAGCAACUUAGUGAUGCCCUGUCUCAA